rnacentral:rRNA from 1 species
CUCAAUGAAUAAUUCAAUAGCCGCAAUUUACUGUGCUAAGGUAGCAUAAUCACUUGUUUUUUAAUUAAAAACUAGAACGAAAGAUUUAACAUUUUCUCUUCUUUAUUAAAUAUUUUUAUUAAAUUUAUUUUAAAUAUAAAAAAAUAUUUAUUUAUAAAAAAGACGACAAGACCCUAUUGAACUUAACUAUUGUUUAACUGGGGCAGUUAAUUAAUUAUAAUUUUAAUUAAAACUUUAAAAAAAUCUAAUACAAUUAAACCAAUAAGUUACCAUAGGGAUAACAGCGCAAUAAUUUUCUUAAGCUCUCAUUAUAAAAAUUGAUUACGACCUCGAUGUUGAAUUAAUAUUCUAUUAAAUGCAAUAAUUUAAUAAGAAAGUC